GAGGAGGAGCGGAGCGCGCGGGCGGGCGGCGGCGCGGGCGGGAGCCGGGGACGCGCAGCGCCGCCUCCGAGCCGCCCCUGCCCAGAUCGCUCCGCCGCCGCCGCCGCCGGGCCCGAACGUCCGCCCGGCCUUGGGACGGACCGCGGGGCCCCGUGACUCACCCUCCUGCUGCAGACAAAGCGCAGCGGCCACCUCCCCGAGCCAGCGCCAUGCGGCCACACGCGUGCAUGGCAGCCACACGCGUUGCCGGGAGCCGGGGCUGCGUGCCAAGAACCCGGGAACCGGCGCCCUGGGCUGGUCCCCAGGCGCCCUGCCCCAGCAGAGGACCCCGGCCUGCUCACGUGCGCACCCCGGAGAAACUUGUUACUGGCGUAACUUGGGCCACCAGGAAGGGUGGGGUGCGCGGUGCAGGGCCCGCCUCAGUGAAGUCCUUCAAAGCUCUUUACCUCCCGGCACUGGGAAGGUUGCAGGGCUCCUGGGAGGGAGAUUUCCACUAGCGCCAAACUAAGCGGCUACUUGAGCUGGCUUCUGGGCCUCCAAAACCUUGCUUUUAUUUCCAGCGUCUUUAUCUUCCACAUGAGGUACCAGUGGCCUUGUCUUCGGCUUGAGGGGUAACAAGACACUCCCAGAGGAGUAAGAUGAAGACAGCAUUUGGAUCACCGGAUCAAGCUGGGCACCAAAUACCCAUACACACGACUGAGUUAUAUAAGGCUGCACUAUGUCCAACAGAGACCGGUUCACCCCACAAGUCACCGCUCUGCUCUGCUCCUAUCCAAUCUGUACUGGGGGCAGUUGAGUGGAGUCUGCAGGUAAGUGUGGAAAUCACCGUGAGGGCUGACGGCCCAGCAGUUGCGAGCACUGCUCUAGCUGAAGAUCAGGGUUUCGUUGUGGCUCACAACUGCCCACCUCGACAGCUCCAAGCCAUCUGACACCCUUUCCUGGCCCCUGAAGGCACCCACACACCCAUGGCCCUCCACACAUGGCCACACACACAUGUGCCCCCUCACAUGGCCCACACACACUUGUGACACCAUACAUGUGGCACCCAUACAUAUGGCACCCACACAAGUGGCACACACACAUGUAACAUGCACGCAUGUAACAUGCGAAUGUGAUACACAGUGCGGCGCACACACACAACCUUUUUUUUUAGUUCCUUCAUCUGAACACUCAGCAUACUGUUACUACAUUGUGUGUGUGAGGUUCGUAUGCACACACCUGCUGUUCCAGACUUAAGUAUGACCCUCAAAUUGUUACCAACUGGACAAAGUGUCUUUUUUAAAUAUAAUUCUGAAUAAAAAUUAAGUGCUGUAAGAGAUCCAGGGUAUAAGAUCAGGACAUUUUAAGCUGGAAGUCUCUGAUUUCACAACCUUGUCUGAAUGUUUCAGAAGCGAUGUUUCCUCUUCCAAGACUGUGAACACAUUAUGUCUUUCUGCCACAGCAACAAGGUUGCUUGUGUGUCUUGGGGACAGCUACUUAACCCCUUAGUGUCCUCAUAUCCACGGCUAGAAAUUAUAGACUUGAAGGUCAGUUCGAAUACCAGUCCAGCUGACUUCCUUGUCUGGUAGCCCAAACCUAUUAGCAGGAAGCAACGGGCACCGAGUUCAUUUUUAAAAAUGGUUUAACGCUGGCAAACCCACAGAUGCCGUCGUUAAUGUGAUUACUAUCCGUACACCCUAAUUUCCAUCAGCAAAGUCGCCCCCUUGCGAUGGCCGUCAGUGCGGCUGACGGUGGAGGAACAAGAUGGACGGUGUCCUACGCACUUGGGCUGAAGCAUGGAGGCCACUCAGGUCUUUCUUCUUUCUCCGGUUCGCGCCCUGUGUGCAUCGUGGUAAGGAGAAAGACGAUUGGCCUCACUGCUGCUGGGGGGGGGGGUUAGAUACCAUGCAGGUCCAAGUCAUCUGGGCCCCAUGAAAACAGCACAUUUGGUGUCUGGAGAUUUUUGACACCCUGGGGUAGGUUUGCAAUGAGAAAUCUAAAUACUGGCUGGUUUGUGUGCCGCUGGUGUUUAAUCAGCAAUCCCGGAGAACAGAACCUGUGGAGCUGUGGGAUGCGUUUAGAGCAUUUGUGGUUCUCUCUGGGAUUUUUCUGAUGGUUUUAUUUCCAUAAGAGAAAACUCAAACACCCACCCAUGAUUUCCACAUCCUAAUAUGCCCAAGUGUUAAAAGAAAAAAAAGAAGGAUAAAAGCUGUUUUAUGGAUAUGAAGCCCUUGCUAUGUGCCUAGCAGCAUGGUAGACACCAAGGGAGAUGUCAAAGAAGCCAAAACUCGGUCUGUGACCACAGCAGGCCACAAUUUAGGUUAACAUAGAAAACCACACCCUGUGUGUACUCAGCUGAAGAGAAGGUCAGACAAAGCCUCAAGGAGAGAGAGGUUGAAACUCAGUUCCCAUCAGUGGACUGCAGGCUGCCUUCCUUUUGUCUUAUCUAUCCAAACGUUGUCUUAAAAUGGAGGCUCAUCUUGACGGCUCUCUCUGGAAAGCUGUGGAUUAGAGAAAUAUAUAUAUAUAUAUUUCUACCAUGCCUCAAAGUCCUGCUGGCGGUUGGUCUUUACAGUCAUGUGACAGAGGGAAGAAGCCCCUGGAGUGUGGUCAGUUCCUCUGUACGAGUGCCACAAGCAAAGUCACAAACGCUAGAAAUGUUAGAAAAUAAGUAAAUUGCUACAAGUUUGCCGUCUCAGAGGCGAACUCUGUGACCCCCCAUGAAGGAAUUUCCUAACUUGAGGGACUGGCAGUUCUCUCUGGUGUGAAUUUCCUCAAAUGGAACAGAAAGCUCUCUCUGAGUGCCAUAUUAUUUGUUGAGGUGAGUUUUCUCUGCUCUCGGGCAAACUUUCUGUGACCUAUGAGACAGGAUAACAUGCAACAGUAACAGUUCUUUUUCUAGGGGCUGGAGAGAUGGCUCAGUGGUUAAGAGAGUGGCUGUUCUCCCACAGGGACGCUCCCAGCACCAGUGUCACUUGACUGGCGACUACCUUGUAACCCCAGUUUCUCAAACGCCUGUGCUCAUGUGCUCACCCCCCACACACAUAAUUUAAAAUUAAUAAACCUUAGAAAAUCGGUCUUUUCAUCACAGUGAUUCUUCAGAUUCUCUAUGAUAAUGGGAAAUCUCUUUGUACUAAUCAUAGAUCCAAGACAGCUAUAGCAAUUAAUUUCCUUAAAACUGUAGAGACUCUCCUGUGGAGAAGGCAUAUUCAGAAAGCAUGACAUUUCUAUGUCUUCUCCCCUUCCCCCCACUCCUCUUCCACACCGGCUCUCAACCAUGCAGCCCUGGGUGGCCUACAACUCAGUACAUAGACCAGGUUGGCCUUGAACUCACAGAGCUCCACCUGGACCCUGCCUCCUGAGCACUGGGAUUAAAAGCAUACACCACCAUGCCCAGCUAGCUUAUUGCCUUCUAAAAUAGAUGUGAGCUGCACACACACACACACACACACACACACACACACACACACGGCUUUACCUAGAAAUCCAGGCUGGAACGGUGCAGGGCCGUUUGUGAACAUCUGUGAGUGGAGCCCUAUCUGUCUGUCCCUGCUUGUCCAUCACUAUUGGCACUGUAGGGCCCAGCGGGUCGGGUCUAUUACUUGUUUUUACUCACCACAGUGACCGAGACCUGACAGCAAGUAAUUUAACAGAAGGUGUGUUCUGACUCAUGGAGGCUGGAGAGCACAGGCAGGCACAGUUUACGAGGCUGCAUGGUGGAGCGUGUAGCUUCCUAUACCCAGGCAGAUGAAGAAGGAGAGGAAGAGAAAUAUUCAGUUGUCAACUGGCUUUUCCCUUUGCCUGCUUUAUUCAUUUCAGACCCUAGCACACGGGACGGCGUAGCCUUCCGGAUUGGCCUCUUCCCCCCUAGUUAAUCUAGUCUGGAAAAGCCCUCUCUGUGCACACACCCAAAGCAUCGUCGGUAGCUGUGUCAUCGUGUCAUGUGUCACGUCUGAAGCUGGCUGGAUCCCCCAGGUUAACUCCACGGGACUGAGCAUGCUGCCACGGCUGAAGGGGCACUCUGACCUCCUCCAGGCUCUCAGCGACCCUGGUUUAGAGACGAACUUUCCUUGCGCGUAGCACGCAUUCAGAGAAUGGCCUUGAGAGUGAGUUCCGUGGGGAGGACUCCCCAGCCUGGCAGGGAGAAUGGGCUACCUUAUUUGCACUUGCAAUAAGGUAGCUUGACCCAGAAAGCCAGACCACCAUUGUGCGGGGCCGGCUGUGCGCUUCCAUGUGAGCCGGUCACCUAGGGUAGCCCCGGCCUAAAACAGUCACAGCCAUUCUGAGUGCUCACCACCCACAGUGCUGCGUGCCCCAUCUGCCUCAGCCAAACUGCGUGCUUCUCAGAACAGUGCCUUGAUGGCGGCUUCUCCUCCGAGGCCUCUCCCCAGGAAGAAAACGCAGUUCCUGCAGGAAGAGCCCCGAUGUCCUCCGCUGAUCUGUCCUCUGGGAACUUGUCCAAAUGUUCCUCUCUAAGUUUCCCAUGCAUCCCGUUUAAAGAAAAGACGCUGACAUCUGGGUCACGCGUUGAGUCCACCGGGGCAGCCAGGCCCUUGUUGACUCUGGUCCAUAAAAAAGGAGCUGGUACCUAAGGAAAUUCCGGUGAGUGGAGCCAGGCGGAAAGCCUACAGACAGAGCAGUGGCCCUCCCCUGCCGCCAUGAAGGCACUUUGUGCCAGAGACAGUGGUUCUUGCUGGGAGCCCUGUGGGGAUUCAUUCCCGUCUCCAUUAGCAUUUCUGACAUCUAGGCAAGAGGUUUCCUGGUGCUGGGAAAGCGGCCUUGCCCUGGACACUUCUGCCUCAGCUGGACUUUAGUAUCCCCCUCCCCCCAGUAACUGUGUCAUGGUUUUAUGGCCCAAUAAAAGACCAUCUGUAUUUAUUUA